UUAAAGAACAUGAAGUAAAUCAGGAGUGUCUGUUUUUGAAAAUGAAAAAUUGAUGAAAUUGAUGAAAAUAAAAUGAAAUUUAUUAGCAAAAAUAUUAAAUAGUAAAACUGUGUAUCUGCUGUCUGCAGGUAAAUGAUGUGAGUGUGUUUGCAUAUUGAUCAGAUGCUUCAGUGCUCUGAGAGUGUUUAUAGUGCUGUGAGUUUAACACUUCAUCACUGACACACACAACAAUCUUCAUCAACAUGACCUUCAUCAUCAUCUUCAUCUGGACUCUCACAGCGUUUGCUCAAGAGUGUAGAGGACAGAUCAGCGUCACUCAGAGUCCCUCAACGACAGCAGCUCAACCAGGAGAAACAGUGAAGAUCAACUGUAGAACCAGCACAGAUGUGUACAUAUAUUUUUUGUGGGAGAGUUUAGCCUGGUACUUACAGAAACCUGGAGAAGCUCCUAAACUCCUGAUUUAUGGAACAAGCAGCCGUCAGUCAGGAACUCCAUCUAGAUUCAGUGGCAGUGGAUCUAACAGUGAUUUCACUCUGAGCAUCAGUGGAGUCCAGACUGAAGAUGCUGGACAUUAUUACUGUCAGAGUUACCACAGUGGUGGUGUGUUCACACAGUGA